rnacentral:tRNA from 1 species
UCCCUGGUGGUCCAGUGACUAAGACUGCACUCCCAAUGCAGGGGCCCAGGUUCAAUCCCUGGUCAGGGAA